GCAUAUCAAUAAGCGGAGGAAAAGAAACCAACAGGGAUUGCCCUAGUAACGGCGAGUGAAGCGGCAACAGCUCAAAUUUGAAAUCUGGCCUCACGGUCCGAGUUGUAAUUUGUAGAGGAUGCUUCUGGCGACGUGCCUUCCGAGUUCCCUGGAACGGGACGCCAUAGAGGGUGAGAGCCCCGUCCGGUCGUGCGCCUAGCCUCUGUGAAGCUCCUUCGACGGGUCGAGUAGUUUGGGAAUGCUGCUCUAAAUGGGAGGUAUACGUCUUCUAAAGCUAAAUACCGGCCAGAGACCGAUAGCGCACAAGUAGAGUAAUCGAAAGAUGAAAAGCACUUUGAAAAGAGGGUUAAAUAGUACGUGAAAUUGCUGAAGGGGAAGCGCUUAUGACCAGACUUGGGCUCGGUGAAUCAUCCGGCGUUCGCGCCGGUGCACUUUGCCGUCCCAGGCCAGCAUCAGUUCGCGCCGGGGGACAAAGGUUUCGGGAAUGUGGCCCCUCGGGGGUGUUAUAGCCCGUUGCGCAAUACCCUGGCGCGGACUGAGGACCGCGCUCUGCAAGGAUGCUGGCGUAAUGGUCAUCAGUGACCCGUCUUGAAACACGGACC
rnacentral:rRNA from 1 species